rnacentral:rRNA from 1 species
GACGAACGCUGGCGGGAUGCCUUACACAUGCAAGUCGAACGGAGUGGCGAACGGGUGAGUAAUGUAUCGGAACGUGCCCAGUAGCGGGGGAUAACUACGCGACAGCGUAGCCAAUACCACCUAAUAUUGGAACGGCCGUUACCGGAUUAGCUAGUUGGUGGGGUAACGGCUCACAAAGGCAACGAUCCGUAGCUGGUUUGAGAGGACGACCAGCCACACUGGGACUGAGACACGGCCCAGACUCCUACGGAAGGCAACAGUGGGGAAUUGUGGACAAUGGGGGAAACCCUGAUCCAGCCAUCCCGCGUGUGCGAUGAAGGCCGUCGGGUUGUAAAGCACUUUUGGCAGGAAAGCGGUACCUGCAGAAUAAGCACCGGCUAACUACGUGCCAGCAGCCGCGGUAAUAC